AUGGGCUCAAGAACCAUAAUGAAUAUUUCCCAAAGAAGCCCUGUGCUUGACUUGGGUUGCAGGUUUGGGGGGUGUGUGUGUGUGUGUGUGUGUGACAAUUUAUUUUCCAUCUUGUGGGUUGCAGUUAGCUCUAAACCACUUGGGCUGCCUGGUUGGUACAUCCCAGGCACGGUUCGAAUCCUGCCUCUCAUCAGCCUAACCCCGUACAUCGGACCUUUAUGUCUUUCAGAUAAAGCCACUUUCACAUCCUCAAGGCACAGAGCAGAAAACUCCCAGUUAAACCACAGAGUUCCAUUAAAAGUUGCCACCCGUAUUCAAAAGCCUGAUUGUACACCUUGGGGUUCUGCCGAAGAAGCACUUACAGGAGUUCAGAGACUGGUGCCGUGUAGUAAAAAUGAAUCGACUUUUAGAAACCACACAGGAUGCUCCGUCUUUGACCUGAGAGCCAAAGCCUGGCUGCACGUUUUCCUUGCUGGACGGAAGUCUUGGUCCCUGCUGUAGGUCUAACCUGGACAUCUUUCAUUACAACAGAGGAACUACGAAAGGUCUCUUUCUCAAAACUUUAGAAUGAGGGACAAAUGCUUGGUAAAUGGUUACUAGUACCACAGGCAAAACAAAAUCUUCCAUGAAACACUUGAAACUUAUACCUCAACCAAGAAGAACACUGAAGAUCAGUUACACCUUUGCUCUUGAGGUCAGUAGGAUACUUGGGGUUUCUUUUAUACCUUGCUACAGACUUCAAAGGAACAUCAGCUGACAGAAGGUAAGGAAUGUUUUUAAUGUGGAUGGCCUUGGACUUUGUGAUUAUUUGGGAAGAAGAGGCUUCAUCCAGUUCUAUUUUUGGCAAUAGUUGUAUCCAUUUUAGACGCACCCAUGUUCAUUGACUCUGUUGAGUGCAGUCUCUCAGUCACUGCUGAAGGGAUUCAAAAUACACCUUCUGGACUAUUCAAGGGAAAGCCUUCCCGGGAACAUUCCCAAGAGCCAGCUGCCAUCAUGGUAUUUGGGACUUCUGGCUAUCACAGUGUUAUCUCUCAUAAACUGCCUAAUACGUCGCUUCUUGGUUGUUCUCUGAUUCCUGAGUGUGUGUAACUUACAAGCCAGUAAGGACCUCCAUAGCUGCAAUAAGCUCAAGAAUUCUGUAUUUUCAUGGGUCUCUAAGUUUUAUUUUACAAGUGUGCAUGAGCAGAUUUUUGAUAAACUUACCUUCUUAGUAUUUUUCAGUCCUGGUCAUAUAUUGGAAAUUGUCUGCAGAUUUACAUUUUAGAAAAUGUACCAGGGCUUCCAGGUGGCACAGCGGUAAAGAAUCUGCCUGCCAAUGCAGGAGACACAAGAGAUCCAAGUUUGAUCCCUGGGUUGGGAAGAUUCCCCUGGAGUAGGAGAUGGCAACUCACUCCAGCUAUUCUUGCCUGGAAAAUUCCAUGGACAGAGGAGCCUGGUGGGCUACAGUCCAUGGGGCUGCAGAGUCAGACACAACUGAGCACAUACACACACAUCAGAUGCUGGAACCUCCAACCAACUGAAUGAAAAUCUGGAGUCAAGCCCACGCUUCUGCAUUUUAAUAAAGCUUUAAUGGUCAUUCCA
rnacentral:lncRNA from 1 species